CGAGUAAGCCAGACAAUCGCUGCUGACUUUUGUCAGGAGAGGAAAGUCCGAGCUCCGUAGGGCAGGGUGCUGGGUAACUCCCAGUGGAGGCGACUCUAAGGAUAGUGCAACAGAAAUAUACCGCCAGAAUCUAGUUAAUACUAGAUGAGUGCAGUGAAAACUGCCUGGUAAGGGUGGAAAGGUGAGGUAAGGGCUCACCAGCGCUAGGGUGAUCUAGUGGCUCUGUAAACCCCACCUGGAGCAAGACCGAAUAGGAAGACAAAUGGGGCUGCCCGUCCCGUCUUCGGGUGUGUCGCUGGAGCCUGUAUGGUAACAACAGGCCUAGAUAGAUGAUUGUCAAAUACAGAACUCGGCUUAUAGACUUAUCUCGCCAC
rfam:Clostridium amylolyticum strain DSM 21864 genome assembly, contig: Ga0131114_101